CAUUUAAAAUUAAAUCAGAAAAGAAAUGGAAAUAAAAAAAUUUAAAAAAAAUUUAAAAAAUUGAAAAUGGCACGCCAACGGCUAGCACGUGUGUCAGACUGGGAUUGGAUGGAUUCAAACGUUUGAAGCCAAAGCACAUGAACUGAACAUCGUCUUCAACCUUAAGUUGAUUUUUCACCUUUCAUGAACUUGAAGUUUUAAGCUCAAACAACACAUAUUUAAG
rnacentral:lncRNA from 1 species